rnacentral:rRNA from 1 species
ACGCUGGCGGCAUGCCUUACACAUGCAAGUCGUACCGGGCAGSCSUWCGGACGCUGACGAGUGGCGAACGGGUGAGUAAUACAUCGGAACGUGCCCAGUCGUGGGGGAUAACUACUCGAAAGAGUAGCUAAUACCGCAUACGAUCUGAGGAUGAAAGCGGGGGACCUUCGGGCCUCGCGCGAUUGGAGCGGCCGAUGGCAGAUUAGGUAGUUGGUGGGAUAAAAGCUUACCAAGCCGACGAUCUGUWGCUGGUCUGAGAGGACGACCAGCCWYACUGGGACUGAGMCACGGCCCACACUYMUACGGGAGGCAGCAGUGGGGAAUUUUGGACAAUGGGCGAAAGCCUGAUCCAGCAAUGCCGCGUGCAGGAUGAAGGCCUUCGGGUUGUAAACUGCUUUUGUACGGAACGAAAAAGCUCCUUCUAAUACAGGGGGCCCAUGACGGUACCGUAAGAAUAAGCACCGGCUAACUACGUGCCAGCAGCCGCGGUAAUACGUAGGGUGCGAGCGUUAAUCGGAAUUACUGGGCGUAAAGCGUGCGCAGGCGGUUAUGUAAGACAGAUGUGAAAUCCCCGGGCUCAACCUGGGAACUGCAUUUGUGACUGCAUGGCUAGAGUACGGUAGAGGGGGAUGGAAUUCCGCGUGUAGCAGUGUAAAUGCG